GACUCCUUCAGCGCGCUGCCUGCCUGCCCAGGGCCUUCCCGGAGAGCAGGUGACGGCGGCCUCCGGGCAUGGAGCUCGCGCUGACGAAAGGUUCUGGAAGCCGCCGUAAAAAGUAAUCAAGAAACGGGUGACAGGACUUUUCCCCUUUGAGGAACCGUUUGAGGUGUGGCACGAUACAGCAAGUCAGCUGCCAAAGAGGGGCUUAGCCACAGGAAGUGCGUGCCCAGAACGCAUCUCCCGUGUCCCUCACAGCAGUUCUAUGAGGCUGGCUGCCCUGUUUGACAACUGAGGCCCGCAUCUUCCCCGGAAUCACCGACGUGUGGCUCUGAGCCCUGUCCCAGGGAUUUUCUCCAUCAGAGAAGAGGAGCACUUUGAGCUUUGAGAGGAGCAGCCCUCUGCAAGUGAAGUGGAAAAAAAGGAAGCAGGCGAGGAGGCCCAUCCAGACCCUCCCCCAAGACCCUUGCUGAAAUGGCUGGGAUGCGGCGUGCAGAAGCUCUCCUUUCCUUCACAGCCCCUGGCUUUCCAAGAGUCCCUGCCCACCCAGAUGCCCGCUGGCAGAUGCAGCCUCAUCUCAAGGACACUGCUUGCUGGAUAAAUCCCUCACCACCCUAGAGACAGCCCACGGUCCUGAGACAAGGAUGCGGGCCAGGCUUGUUGCACGUAAGCGCCUCCCGCAGAAACCAGUGAGGCCGGAGUUCCAGAGGAAAUGAUGUAGGGACAGAGGCAGAGGGCCUCCAGGAGGCACCAGCCCCAGAGUCUUCCCUAGAAUCAGACUUUAAGCACAAGCAGGGAGGGAAAGCACUUGAGCAGUGCCCGUCCCUGCAUACCUGGCCUCUGCUGGAACCCAUGCAGGGACAGGACACUUCUUUAUCAGCAAUCCUGUUCCUCUCCUGGGCAGCUUCAACCUGAACAUCCUCCUUCACCUUGAGCUAAAAUGGGUUUCUUGUCACCCUUGCCCAUCAAACCUGGCCUUGCCCUCAGGAACCACACAGGACAAGCCUAAUACUUCCUUCUUGUGGCAACACUUUAGCAAUUGAGACCUGGCUGUCAGGUCCUCCAAAUAAACAUUUGUGACUGUGAUGUUGACUUGCCGCUUCUGGGGACCUCUUCUCAUUUGAUCGGAGAAAGUUUUUCAGGGUUAAACCUACUUCUUUCCCCCAAGAAACUCUUCUUGUCAGGCUCACGCCUAUAAUCCUGGCACUUUGGGAGGCCAAGGCAGGAGGAUUGUUUGAGACCAGCCUGGGCAACGUAGGUAGACUAUGUUGC
rnacentral:lncRNA from 1 species